rnacentral:rRNA from 2 species
UGCAGUCGACGAGCUUCCGUUGAUGACGUGCUUGCACUGAUUUCAACAAUGAAGCGAGUGGCGAACUGGUGAGUAACACGUGGGGAAUCUGCCCAGAAGCAGGGGAUAACACUUGGAAACAGGUGCUAAUACCGUAUAACAACAAAAUCCGCAUGGAUUUUGUUUGAAAGGUGGCUUCGGCUAUCACUUCUGGAUGAUCCCGCGGCGUAUUAGUUAGUUGGUGAGGUAAAGGCCCACCAAGACGAUGAUACGUAGCCGACCUGAGAGGGUAAUCGGCCACAUUGGGACUGAGACACGGCCCAAACUCCUACGGGAGGCAGCAGUAGGGAAUCUUCCACAAUGGACGAAAGUCUGAUGGAGCAAUGCCGCGUGAGUGAAGAAGGGUUUCGGCUCGUAAAACUCUGUUGUUAAAGAAGAACACCUUUGAGAGUAACUGUUCAAGGGUUGACGGUAUUUAACCAGAAAGCCACGGCUAACUACGUGCCAGCAGCCGCGGUAAUACGUAGGUGGCAAGCGUUGUCCGGAUUUAUUGGGCGUAAAGCGAGCGCAGGCGGUUUUUUAAGUCUGAUGUGAAAGCCUUCGGCUUAACCGGAGAAGUGCAUCGGAAACUGAGAGACUUGAGUGCAGAAGAGGACAGUGGAACUCCAUGUGUAGCGGUGGAAUGCGUAGAUAUAUGGAAGAACACCAGUGGCGAAAGGCGGCUGUCUAGUCUGUAACUGACGCUGAGGCUCGAAAGCAUGGGUAGCGAACAGGAUUAGAUACCCUGGUAGUCCAUGCCGUAACGAUGAGUGCUAAGUGUUGGAGGGUUUCGGCCCUUCAGUGCUGCAGCUACGCAUUAGCACUCGCUGGAGUACGACGCAGAUGAACUCAA